rnacentral:rRNA from 1 species
GAGUUUGAUCCUGGCUCAGGAACAACGCUGGCGGCGUGCCUAACGCAUGCAAGUCGGGCGGGCGUCUCUUUCGGGGGAUGUCAGCGGCGGACGGGUGAGGAACGCGUGGGCAACCUGCCCCGACGUGGGGGACAACUCCGGGAAACCGGGGCUGAUACCGCAUAUGGUCGGUCCUUGGACGGGGACUGAGCAAAGCCUUCGGGCGCGACGGGAGGGGCCUGCGUCCGAUUAGCUGGUUGGCGGGGUGACGGCCCACCAAGGCGACGAUCGGUAGCUGGUCUGAGAGGACGACCAGCCACAGGGGAACUGAGACACGGUCCCCACACCUACGGGUGGCAGCAGCGAGGGAUUUUCGGCAAUGGGCGCAAGCCUGACCGAGCAACGCCGCGUGCGGGACGACGCCCUUCGGGGUGUAAACCGCUUUUCGGUGGGACGAAGAUGACGGUACCACCGGAAUAAGCCUCGGCUAACUACGUGCCAGCAGCCGCGGUAAGACGUAGGAGGCGAGCGUUGUCCGGAAUCAUUGGGCGUAAAGCACGCGUAGGCGGCCAGAUAAGUCCGGUGUGAAAGUCAAAGGCUCAACCUUUGAAUGCUGCUGGAAACUGUCUGGCUAGAGUCCGGAAGGGGCGAGUGGAACUCCUGGUGUAGCGGUGAAAUGCGCAGAUAUCAGGAAGAACACCAAUGGCGAAGGCAGCUCGCUAGGACGGUACUGACGCUGAGGCGCGAAAGCGUGGGGAGCAAACAGGAUUAGAUACCCUGGUAGUCCACGCCGUAAACGAUGGGCACUAGGUGUGGGAGGUGUCGACUCCUCCCGUGCCGAAGCUAACGCAUUAAGUGCCCCGCCUGGGGAGUACGGCCGCAAGGCUAAAACUCAAAGGAAUUGACGGGGACCCGCACAAGCAGCGGAGCAUGUGGUUUAAUUCGACGCAACGCGAAGAACCUUACCUGGGCUUGACAUGUGAGUGACCGCCCUGGAAACAGGGCUUCCCUUCGGGGCACUUUCACAGGUGGUGCAUGGCUGUCGUCAGCUCGUGCCGUGAGGUGUUGGGUUAAGUCCCGCAACGAGCGCAACCCUCGUUCCAUGUUGCCAGCGGGUCAUGCCGGGGACUCAUGGGAGACUGCCGGGGUCAACUCGGAGGAAGGUGGGGAUGACGUCAAGUCAUCAUGCCCCUUAUGUCCAGGGCUUCACGCAUGCUACAAUGGCCGGUACAAUGGGCUGCGAUACCGCAAGGUGGAGCGAAUCCCAAAAAGCCGGUCUCAGUUCGGAUCGGGGUCUGCAACUCGACCCCGUGAAGUCGGAGUCGCUAGUAAUCGCAGAUCAGCAACGCUGCGGUGAUACGUUCCCGGGCCUUGUACACAC